rnacentral:rRNA from 1 species
AUUGAACGCUGGCGGCAUGCCUUACACAUGCAAGUCGAACGGCAGCACGGGUGCUUGCUCCUGGUGGCGAGUGGCGAACGGGUGAGUAAUACAUCGGAACAUGUCCUGUAGUGGUGGAUAGCCCGGCGAAAGCCGGAUUAAUACCGCAUACGAUCUACGGAUGAAAGCGGGGGACCUUCGGGCCUCGCGCUGUAGGGUUGGCCGAUGGCUGAUUAGCUCGUUGGUGGGGUAAAGGCCUACCAAGGCGACGAUCAGUAGCUGGUCUGAGAGGACGACCAGCCACACUAGGACUGAGACACGGCCCAGACUCCUACGGGAGGCAGCAGUGGGGAAUUUUGGACAAUGGGCGAAAGCCUGAUCCAGCAAUGCCGCGUGUGUGAAGAAGGCCUUCGGGUUGUAAAGCACUUUUGUCCGGAAAGAAAUCCUUGGCCCUAAUACGGUCGGGGGAUGACGGUACCGGAAGAAUAAGCACCGGCUAACUACGUG